GCUAGUCGCACGAGUUCAGACUCGUGGCGAAUAGCUCAGUAACACGUGGCCAAACUACCCUUCGGAACACAAUACCCUCGGGAAACUGAGGCUAAUAGUGUAUAUCGUACCACCACUGGAAUGAGUGGUACGCCAAACGCUCCGGCGCCGAAGGAUGUGGCUGCGGCCGAUUAGGUAGACGGUGGGGUAACGGCCCACCGUGCCAAUAAUCGGUAUGGGUCAUGAGAGUGAGAACCCAGAGACGGAAUCUGAGACAAGAUUCCGGGCCCUACGGGGCGCAGCAGGCGCGAAACCUUUACACUGCACGACAGUGCGAUAGGGGGAUCCCAAGUGCACAGGCAUAGCGCCUGUGCUUUUCGGUACCCUAAGGCGGUACCAGAAUAAGGGCUGGGCAAGACCGGUGCCAGCCGCCGCGGUAAUACCGGCAGCCCAAGUGAUGGCCGAUCUUAUUGGGCCUAAAGCGUCCGUAGCUGGCCGCGCAAGUCCAUCGGGAAAUCCACCUGCUCAACAGGUGGGCGCCCGGUAGAAACUGCGUGGCUUGGGACCGGAAGGCGCGACGGGUACGUCCGGGGUAGGAGUGAAAUCCCGUAAUCCUGGA
rnacentral:rRNA from 2 species